UCUCGUACGUUUUUGGGGCCCUGGCUUGUCCACGGCUGUCGUCCCACAUGUAACCUCUAUCAGCAAUCUUCGGCCAGCCGGUGGCGGCAACCUGCCCGGCCCUCGUGCGCCUCCUGGGUGCCCUCAGCUACCUGCCUCCGGUCACAAUCCUACGCCCGGCUGUGCUGUUGCCAGGGCCCUGGUGCUUUGCACUUCCGCUCUGGGGCAAUCCAGUCUUGCCGUGUGCGGCGGGGCUUCAGGCGGGUGGCUUGGAACGUGACUUCCCAGCUCUCAUGGCGCUGCCGGGUCUGCUCACGCUCGGCACGGCAGUGCGGUGCUGGGAGGCGCUGGCCGCGGUGCGCCAGCUGGUGGCUUCCAAACCGGCUGGUGCGCUCGGGCCGCGCCUCGCACGUCGCUGCACUAUACAGUACAAGCGGUCCGUCCUGCGCCCCAUCCUGCGCAUUACGGAUAUGGCGCGCGUGCCGCCGGAGCUGCAGUCCGGCCCGGAUGCUGCUGCCCAAUUCUCCGCGCUGCUGGCCCGUGUACCGGCGGCGUGGAGGGUGGCGGCGUCGGCCACACUGCAUGCGCCUGGCGGCGCGGCCUCCGCGCCUCCUGCCCCCCAGGUAUGGCUGCUGCUUGCGCAGAGCCUGGGGUGGCGGCAUGGCGCGGCUGACGUGCCCUUGCUGACCCUUACGGUGAAGCAGGCAACCCAGCUUCAACUUGCGCCUGCGUACGACGCGCUCCGCGUGCGUCACUUGGCCUUCAUCCAAGAGGCCUACAGCGGUGCCGCGCCGCCAGCGGAAGCGAUUCAUGCGCUGCGGGCGGCCCUGGCGCGGCUGUGGGCUUUGGUGUGGGAGCCGCGACACAAGGAACCGCUCUGGCGUCUGGCAGUCAAUGGGUUCACGGGCUUUGGGAUGCUUGCGGCGUGGGCCGCAGAUGGACGCGUGGAGAAAUGCCCGUGUGGGACUCAGAUGACUGCUGGGGCUAGGGUUCAUCACUUCUGGGACUGUGUGGUGGCGGAGGCUCUGCGUGAUGUGAUGCGGGAGCAUGCGAAUGUGGACAUCACACGGAACCAGUUGUGGUUAGUACAGGCGCCACCAGGGCUAUCGCAGGCGGUGUGGGACAUCGUGUGCUUGGCUGCUGUGGCGGCCCUGGAAUACGGCCGACAGCGCCUUUACGCUUGCCGUGAUGCUGCAGACCGGACUGCGGAGGUUGCUGUUGUGCGAAGGAUAGGUGUGGAGGUGAUUGCGGACUUCUGGUCACGGCUAGCUGCGUUUGUGAGUCUGCGUCGGCCUCCGCGCCGCUGGGACCUUGUCCCGAACCAGCACCCAUUCCUAGCGUCAGAUGAUGUUGGAGGGGUUAUCUUGGUAGGGCCAACAGCGGACUCGCCACCGGCCUCACCCUAGCUUGUCAGCUUAGGGACUCGCAAGAGGUAGUCUUAUGACGCCGACCCACGGCUUAGGUGAGCAGCGCUAGCGUUUGCGGUGAGCCGGGCCUGGGGUUCCUCCCCUCUCCGGAGGCGAGGAGCAUGGGGGUCAUUCGGGGAUCUCUCCUCGGGUGAGCGUGCGUGUCUCGUACGUUUUUGGGGCCCUGGCUUAGUCCACGGCUGUCGUCCCACAUGUAACCUCUAUCAGCUAAACGCCCGCCCGUGGGCUUUGUACGCGGGUGGUCUUGCGCCACGAUGCCGGAGUUGGGUGCCGCCACGAUGCCGGAGUUGGGUGCCGGAGUCACAUCAAGGUCGCAAGAUCGAAACCCGUCAGGAACAGUUCGGCUCCGUUACCUGUGUAGGCACUGAACAUACUUGUGCCGAACUUCCCCGAACGAGCGCCAUCUCGGCCUUCCUAGGUCGCUGCUCUACGGGUGAGGACGCUGGUGCGGCGGGUUCUGAAAAUCAGAUUCAUCCAACCAUUGGUUGGUCCUGCCAUUCGGGCUCACCAACGCUCCUGCUACGUUUCAAGCCACUAUGAACCGCAUCUUUGCGCCGUUCCUGAACCGGUUUGUGACUGUGUAUUUGGAUGACAUCCUCAUUUUCAGUCGCACCGCUGAAGAACAUGAACAACACCUCCGCCAAGUGUUGGCCUGCCUCCGUAAAUGGAAACUACACGCCAAACUUAGCAAGUGCGAGUUCUGGCGCAGUGAGGUGAAAUACUUGGGGCAUAUUGUCAGUUCGGAUGGAAUCCGCAUGGAUCCAAAGAAAGUUGAGCAAAUCCGUCAGUGGCCGCGUGACCUGUCUGAAUUGCGGUCAUUUGUUGGUUUAGCCAACUAUUUCCGCCGGUUUAUUGCUGGUUUUGCAUCCCUGGCCGCACCGUUCACCAACAUGUUCUCACCAGAGGUCGGCAAACGCAUUUUUUCUGCUGCGGGUCCCAGACCGAUUUCGGUAAAUCCCCACCGGGGGGUGUGGGGGGUGUCCCCCCAGCCGGGGGUCCGGGGGCGGGAGCCCCCGGAGAAAAUUUUCGCAUAUCGGGCCUCAAAUAUGUGCUUUUUACAAGGGUUUCCGCGUGUGCAAGGCUUGCAUUCGUCUUACAUGUUCAACAGCACAUGUCUGGACAGCUGCUCUGUGGCAGGCAGCCACAAAUCCUCGCAAUCCCCCUCUGUUCCGCGCAAGCCAGCCCCAGGGCAGCAGCCCCAAAGAAAUUUUUUUGGAUUGCGCUUCAAAUUGCGACAUUUUCAAGAUGUUUGGGGGGCAUUUUGGCUAAACCAAGAGCAAGUCAAUCAUGUUUUGGGUCGGUUUUGGGGGGCAGUUUUGCUUUCUGGAGCGAUUUCGGUAGUGUAAGUACCCGCAGCGGUUGACUAUUUUCGAUUUCGGUUGCGGGUACUUCGGGGGGCCCCGAAGGACCCGAGGCUUAUGCCGACCUCUGGUUCUCACUCACGCGCCUACCGGACACUUGGCCUCCGCAGGCCCUGCACGCGUUUGAACAAAUCAAAGAACGCCUGUCAACCGAUGUGCUUUUGCGUUAUCCUGAUUUCUCGAAGCCCUUUGUCGUCAUGUCCGACGCUUCGCUGAACGGAACGGGUGCUGUCUUGUUGCAAGAGGACCGACCGGUCGCUUUUACCAGCAAGAAGUUCUCCCCUGCUGAACGCAACUACAGCACUGGUGAACAAGAACUGUUGGGUGUGGUAAACGCCCUGCGUGAAUGGCGUUGUUACCUGCAGAGCGCGCUACCUUUUACUUUGUACACGGACCAUCAUCCGUUGAUCUACCUCAAGACCCAAGCACACCUUUCAAGACGUCAAGCCCGCUGGGUGGAGCUCCUGUCUGAGUUCCAUUUCGACUGGGUCUACCGCCCAGGCAAGCUCAACGUAGUUGCUGAUGCCCUGUCUCGACACCCGUCGCUGUCCUUCCUGCAUGCUAUGCAAACCCGCCGUCAAGCUGCCGCCGCGGCUUCCUCGCCGCCUGCUCCCUCUGCGACGCCCUCUGCGCCUCGUGCCCGUGCUGCGCACGCACCUGCGCCUGUUUCCUCUGGGCCUGUCGCUACCUUCACAGCACGUAUUGCUGCGGCUGUGCGAGCUGAUACCUGGUUUCAGGAUGCGGCUAACGUGCGUGGUCUGGCUACGAGCCCUGAUGGUCUCUUUUUGCGGGAGGAGGAGGGGAGUUGGCGCAUCCUUGUGCCUAAUGACCCUGAUCUGAAACGCGAUAUCAUUGCGAGUUGCCAUUCUGAACGCCUCGCCGGACACCAGGGUCGUGAUCGCACUACUGAGCUGGUUCGCCGUACGUUUACGUGGCCUACCCUGACCCGCGAUGUGGCUGACUUCGUAGCGUCCUGUGACGCCUGCCAACGUUCCAAGCCUGCUUCUGGCAAGCCUGCUGGCAAGCUUCAACCGCUGCCUAUCCCGGAACUACCUUGGGAGAGUGUGUCUAUGGACUUCAUUACGGGUUUACCUCGUACGCAGCGUCACAAUACCGCUAUCUGCGUGUUUGUGGACCGCCUGACUAAGAUGGUGCACAUCGCGCCCUGUUCCCACGAAAUCAAUGGACAGCAGACUGCUGACCUAUUCUUUGACUCUGUGGUUCGCCUGCAUGGCCUGCCUCGUGAGAUUGUGUCUGACCGCGGCACAGUAUUCACCGGAGCUUUCACUACCGCGCUGACUAAGCGCCUGGGAAUUAAGCAGUCUUUGUCUACCGCUUUCCACCCCCAGACUGAUGGGCAGACUGAACGGAUUAAUCGUAUCUUGAAUGAUAUGAUGCGGAACUUUUGUGAUGGAAAUCACGCGAAUUGGGACCGGUACUUGUCGGCCGCUGAGUUUGCGAUUAACAAUGCGCAGAACCGUUCCACCGGCAAGUCCCCUUUCUUCCUGACUUACGGCGUCCACCCUAAGACACCGCUGACACUGGACGUUGGAAAUU
rnacentral:lncRNA from 1 species